UAACCCCCAAACAACGUAACGCUCCAAAAUUGAGCAAUAUUUCAUAUGUAAGGGGGAUUUGACGGGUCGACAGAUCGAUAAAAACAGAAAUAAGAGUUUCUGACUUGCCCUUGGUACGAUAACCUUUGAUGGACGUAUGACGUGGCUCGUUCGGUCGCUCGAAGACAAGCUCCCGUGGCGAGACAACUAUGACUCAUGUUCACCAGGGAGGCGCCAAACGUGAGAACAUUGAUCGAGUUCAAGAACCCCCAAUAUUACCUCUAGAUGGGAUGACGCACUGAAUCCCAUACAUCCCCAUGAAAGUGUCACUUUGUACCCACUGCAGAUGAAAUGAGUUACUGGCUGGAUAAGGGUAUGUCUAAGUCUUGCUGUGGGUGGCAGUAUAUCACUUGGCUGUUCUUUACAUGUACGAUAUAAGGAUCACCAGGCUUGCAUAUGUACCAGUCACCUUUCGUUCUCUUUCAUCGGUUACUCUGAAAGCUUCAGUAGUAAAAAAAAAGACCUAGGUCAAAUCUAUCUCGGGCGAGUUUGCAACCACACACAAAGGUAUCGCAGUAUGCAGACAUUUCAGGCAAAAUAAGAACUCUGAUAUGUCUUUAUAUGUCUUUCUGGUAUUUACCCCAAACGUUUGGUAUUCGAUUCGAUAAAAGUGUGUAACUGUACUCCUUAAUUCACCUAAAUGGCAAUGCCUAAUCAUUUACCAAUCAAGAUGGCCGACAUACUACAGUUGCAAUGUAUGAUGAUCUCAAGGAUUCAAAGAC